rnacentral:lncRNA from 1 species
GAGAAGCGAAAGAAAAAUCGAGCUCCUACUGAACCCAGCAGGCCCCUCACUGAUAAAUGGAUCUCGCCCCGACGAUGGAGUCCGAGAUCGCCUCGACGGUGGAGUCCGAGACCGACGCAUCGUAGGUAUGACUCCUACACUCCUCUCUCUGCUCCUCAUGCACAGAUCCUGAUGGAGAUCGAAGGAGCGAAAUAUCUGCGACGGCCUCCGCCUCUGAAGGCAAAAGGCCU